CCUGUUUCAAGAAGAUCUCUCAACUUUGUGGGAAUUUUAGUCAGUGCAACUUUCUUGGACAUCUUCAACUCUAACCUUGCAGGUGUAGACAUGGUACCUACAGAAUCUGUUUCAUGGACAUCCACAAUCUUAAUUCUAUCGCACUGAGAUACCAUUGUGUCCUCUUCUGUUUUCAGAGCAGACCUAGUAAACCGCCUCAUAGGUGUCUGUAAUUGCUCAUCGUUAGCAUCACCCUGAGCAGUAACAGCUAAUUCAGGAACAAUUUCAGCCAUCUCUUCAUCAAAAUCAUCAUUGGUUUUCGCUGAUUCGCCCUUUUCAGUCGUAGCAUCAUUUCCACAAUUCUGCAAGCUAGCAUUCCCUUCUUCUCCAGACCCAACAACUCCUUCAUCCAUCUUAGCUUUCUUCUCAUCAUCACUAGUGCAAUCCACCACACCGCUCUUCGGCUCCUCCUCUUCACUCAAAAUAAUCACAUUUUCGUCCCUAGUCACAAUUCCAUCUCUCUCCUGUUCCUCACCAACAACCUUAGAAUUCGACAAAUCUUCACUCAACAAAACCACAUUGUCAUCUUUUUUCACAACCCGAUCACUCUCCAAUUCCUCAACAACCUUCGAAUUCGACAAAUCUCCACUCAACAAAACCACAUUUUGAUCCAUUUUCUGAACUCCAUCACUCUCCAGUUCUUCACCAACAACCUUCGAAUUCGACAAAUCUCCACUCAACAAAACCACAUUUUGAUCCAUUUUCUGAACUCCAUCACUCUCCAGUUCUUCAC
rnacentral:misc_RNA from 1 species